rnacentral:rRNA from 1 species
UGGGGAAUAUUGGACAAUGGGCGAAAGCCUGAUCCAGCCAUGCCGCGUGUGUGAAGAAGGCCUUUUGGUUGUAAAGCACUUUAAGUGGGGAGGAAAAGCUUGUGGUUAAUACCCAUAAGCCCUGACGUUACCCACAGAAUAAGCACCGGCUAACUCUGUGCCAGCAGCCGCGGUAAUACAGAGGGUGCAAGCGUUAAUCGGAAUUACUGGGCGUAAAGCGCGCGUAGGUGGUUAUUUAAGUCAGAUGUGAAAGCCCCGGGCUUAACCUGGGAACUGCAUCUGAUACUGGAUAACUAGAGUAGGUGAGAGAGGAGUAGAAUUCCAGGUGUAGCGGUGAAAUGCGUAGAGAUCUGGAGGAAUACCGAUGGCGAAGGCAGCUCCCUGGCAUCAUACUGACACUGAGGUGCGAAAGCGUGGGUAGCAAACAGGAUUAGAUACCCUGGUAGUCCACGCCGUAAACGAUGUCUACCAGUCGUUGGGUCUUUUAAAGACUUAGUGACGCAGUUAACGCAAUAAGUAGACCGCCUGGGGAGUACGGCCGCAAGGUUA